rnacentral:rRNA from 1 species
AAACCCUCCUCAAGAUAAGAUAUCCCUCAUCUUCGGAUGACAGAAGGUCCCUUGAAGACUACAAGGUAGAUAGGCCGGGUGUGUAAGCAUAGUAAUAUGUUUAGCUGACCGGUACUAAUAGACCGAGCGUCUUCUUUGC